rnacentral:rRNA from 1 species
GACGAACGCUGGCGGCGUGCCUAAUACAUGCAAGUCGAGCGCAGGAAAUCGACGGAACCCUUCGGGGGGAAGUCGACGGAAUGAGCGGCGGACGGGUGAGUAACACGUAAAGAACCUGCCCUCAGGUCUGGGAUAACCACGAGAAAUCGGGGCUAAUACCGGAUGGGUCAUCGGACCGCAUGGUCCGAGAAUGAAAGGCGCUUCGGCGUCGCCUGGGGAUGGCUUUGCGGUGCAUUAGCUAGUUGGUGGGGUAAUGGCCCACCAAGGCGACGAUGCAUAGCCGACCUGGGAGGGUGAUCGGCCACACUGGGACUGAGACACGGCCCAGACUCCUACGGGAGGCAGCAGUAGGGAAUCUUCCACAAUGGACGAAAGUCUGAUGGAGCAACGCCGCGUGAACGAUGAAGGCCUUCGGGUCGUAAAGUUCUGUUGUAAGGGAAGAACAAGUGCCGCAGGCAAUGGCGGCACCUUGACGGUACCUUGCGAGAAAGCCACGGCUAACUACGUGCCAGCCGCCGCAGUAA